AGCUUAGCAUCACCAAAACUAUAUAAGUAUUCAACAUCAAGACUCCAACAUGAUUAGUCCAUAUUAUGAUAGCAUUUCUCGGAACACUAAGCAUAUGCAUCAAGAAUAGGCUUCCGCUGAUUUGUACAUUCCCACAACUUUGUACUUCUUCCAUGUUCAGUCUGCAGAAGGUAUUGAAAGCACAAUGUAUCAGUGAAGGAGGACAUAGCUUAGUGUCUCUUGCACAAAGGAGUUUUCAGUAUUUUUUUUUUUUUUAUCAUAAUGCCAACAAGAAUUUGGUUCUUUUUACGAACAAGAUGUCGACAAAUCUGCGAAUCUAGAAAUUCAUUUUGGCCAAUUCAACCUUCUCGAACUGUUUGUUUUUAAGAACCAAAAAGAUUUGUGCCAAAAUAAUAAAUGCUAAGAAGAACAAAAAUCCUUGGACAAGCAAUGGAUCUUGAAGUACCAUUUCUCCAUCUCCCUGACCAAAUCCGCCUACAUUAGGAUUACUCGUUAAUGGUUGAUCAAAUUUGAUAAAUUCGCCCUCGGAAACAAGAAGUUCUGGUCCAGGAGGGAUAAUACCAACCACUUGACGUCCAUCCGACGCAUCCCUUAUGGUUAUCUCAUAUCCACCUUUUUCUUUUCGUGGCAGUAAACAAAGAAAUAGAUCAAAGAUUUUCUCGUAACUUGUCAGAAAACAGAAAAUUCCAACAAGGAAUAUUAUGUGACGCUAUUAAUUUUCCUUCUCUGGUGCAUAUUGUCCAAGUAGGAAGUAAACUUUGCCAAGUAUAUACAAAGAUACUUCAGUAACCUAUUAACAACAUAACUCAUUGGAAAAUUCAGAGUCAUAUUUUAGUGGGAAUACUGCAUCUUUACUCACAUUAGGAUGAGUACAUUUUUCUGAAGUUUGCGAUGGGAUAUCAUGCAUUAAUGUAUUGUACAGCAGCACCUAUUGAAACAUCUUGAUCAAGAUACAGCAGCCUCAACUCCAAAUGCGUCGAUGGGCUGAUUCUUGCA
rnacentral:lncRNA from 1 species